rnacentral:ncRNA from 1 species
CAAGUACUGCCACCGGGUAGGAAUGCAAGGAGCAUUCGUUUACACACCAUUAGGUCUUUGAAGGUGUGUAUGCGGAUGCUUUUUUAGG